rnacentral:ncRNA from 1 species
AUGUAUUCAAUUCGUUUAAGAUAAGCUGGCAAUAAAAAAGUAGUAAAAACAUCCACAAUGGUUGGCUUUUUUGUUAUGCUUAUUUUGCGAAUUAGGACAUGGAUACGGGUGAGGUGUAACCCUUUGAGGUUAUACGGUUUUUCACUAUGUCUUUUUAACGUUGCUAUGCAGACUAAAGUUCCCAUUGUGGAUUUUAGUCUGCAUUUUUUAU